UAAAGACGCAUGCAGGUGGUUUGGUUUAAGUUCAGAUGUGAAAGACCCGGGGCGUCAACCUCCGGAAUAGCAUUUGUAAACUAGGCAGACUAGAGUACUGUAGAGGGGGGUAGGAAGUUUCAGGUGUAGCGGUGAAAUAGCGUAGAGAUCUGAAGGAAUACCGGUGGCGAAGGCGGCCCCCUCGGACAGAUACUGACACUCAGAUGCGAAAGCGUGGGGAGCAAACAGGAUUAGAUACCCUGGUAG
rnacentral:rRNA from 1 species